AUCCAUCUGACGAGUCUCAAAUAGAACGAAACGCGCAUCCUGGAU
rnacentral:hammerhead_ribozyme from 1 species